GAGUUUGAUCCUGGCUCAGAUUGAACGCUGGCGGCAUGCCUUACACAUGCAAGUCGAACGGCAGCACGGGAGCUUGCUCCUGGUGGCGAGUGGCGAACGGGUGAGUAAUGCAUCGGAACGUAUCCUGGAGUGGGGGAUAACGUAGCGAAAGUUACGCUAAUACCGCAUAUUCUGUGAGCAGGAAAGCGGGGGACCUUCGGGCCUCGCGCUCUUGGAGCGGCCGAUGUCGGAUUAGCUAGUUGGUGAGGUAAAGGCUCACCAAGGCGACGAUCCGUAGCAGGUCUGAGAGGAUGAUCUGCCACACUGGAACUGAGACACGGUCCAGACUCCUACGGGAGGCAGCAGUGGGGAAUUUUGGACAAUGGGGGCAACCCUGAUCCAGCCAUGCCGCGUGAGUGAAGAAGGCCUGGUU
rnacentral:rRNA from 2 species